rnacentral:lncRNA from 1 species
UUUUUAGCUCACCUGGCCAGAAGGGCCAAGUGAGCUUUUCUCAUCACUUUGCGUCCGUCGUUAGCUUUUACAAAAAUCUUCUCUGAAACUACUGGGCCAAAUUAAACCAAACUUGGCCACAAUCAUCAUUGGGGUAUCUAGUUUAAAAAAUGUGUGGUGUGACCUGGCCAACAACCAAGAUGGCCGCAUGGCUAAAAAUAGAACAUAGGGGUAAAAUGUAGAUUUUGGCUUAUAACUCUGAAAUCAAAGCAUUUAGAGCAAAUCUGACA